rnacentral:rRNA from 1 species
GAUGAACGCUGGCGGCGUGCCUAAUACAUGCAAGUCGAACGCGCAGCGAAGAGUGCUUGCACUCUUCAAGCGAGUGGCGAACGGGUGAGUAACACGUGAAUAACCUACCGAAAAGCAGGGGAUAACAUUUGGAAACAGAUGCUAAUACCGUAUAAAACGUGCUGUCGCAUGACAAAACGUUAAAAGGUCCGUUUGGACCACUUUUUGAUGGAUUCGCGGUGCAUUAGUUAGUUGGUGGGGUAAAGGCUCACCAAGACGAUGAUGCAUAGCCGAGUUGAGAGACUGACCGGCCACAUUGGGACUGAGACACGGCCCAAACUCCUACGGGAGGCUGCAGUAGGGAAUCUUCCACAAUGGGCGCAAGCCUGAUGGAGCAACGCCGCGUGUGUGAUGAAGGCUUUCGGGUCGUAAAGCACUGUUGUAUGGGAAGAACGGUAAGGGUAGGAAAUGAUCUUUACAUGACGGUACCAUACCAGAAAGGGACGGCUAAAUACGUGC